AAGAUGUUGUCUGCCGCGGCUGGGUCUUGAACCCGCGACCUUCGAAUUACUAGAUCGAUAUAUUACUGGAUCGACGCUCUACCAACUGAGCUACACGGUCAGACGGCUUUAAGACUGGAAAUUAUGAAAUAUAUAUAAUAUCGAUCUAGUAAUUCGAAGGUCGCGGGUUCAAGACCCAGGCGCGGCAGACAACAUCUU